rnacentral:rRNA from 1 species
AUGGAUUGAGAGCUUGCUCUUAUGAAGUUAGCGGCGGACGGGUGAGUAACACGUGGGUAACCUGCCCAUAAGACUGGGAUAACUCCGGGAAACCGGGGCUAAUACCGGAUAACAUUUUGAACUGCAUGGUUCGAAAUUGAAAGGCGGCUUCGGCUGUCACUUAUGGAUGGACCCGCGUCGCAUUAGCUAGUUGGUGAGGUAACGGCUCACCAAGGCAACGAUGCGUAGCCGACCUGAGAGGGUGAUCGGCCACACUGGGACUGAGACACGGCCCAGACUCCUACGGGAGGCAGCAGUAGGGAAUCUUCCGCAAUGGACGAAAGUCUGACGGAGCAACGCCGCGUGAGUGAUGAAGGCUUUCGGGUCGUAAAACUCUGUUGUUAGGGAAGAACAAGUGCUAGUUGAAUAAGCUGGCACCUUGACGGUACCUAACCAGAAAGCCACGGCUAACUACGUGCCAGCAGCCGCGGUAAUACGUAGGUGGCAAGCGUUAUCCGGAAUUAUUGGGCGUAAAGCGCGCGCAGGUGGUUUCUUAAGUCUGAUGUGAAAGCCCACGGCUCAACCGUGGAGGGUCAUUGGAAACUGGGAG